rnacentral:lncRNA from 1 species
AUGAGGUCAGGGGUCACGGGGUCAGGAGGUUCAAAGGUCAUGGGGUCAGAAAGGGUCACAAGGUCAGGACUUGAGCAGGUCCCAGGGUCAGGGGUGGCUGGAUCGGGAGGUCAAGGGUCACGGGGUCAGAAAGGGUCAUGGGACACGAAGGGUCACCGGGUCGGGGUCAGGAGGCGUCAUGAGAUCACGAGGUGGCACACGGUCAGGGGUCAUGGGGUCAGGAGAGGUCAUGGGGUCAGGGGUCAGGAGAGGUCAUGGGGUUGGGGUCACGGGGUCAGGAGAGAUCAUGGGGUUGGGGGUCAUGGGGUCAGCAGAGGUCAUGGGGUCAGGAGAGGUCAUGGGGUCGGGGUCAUGGGGUCAGGAGAGGUCAUGGGGUCACGGGGUCAAAGGUCACGGGCGCCCCCCACCUUGGAGCUGAGCGUGCGGAAGAUCCCCUCGAAGGUGCUGCCGCUGCGCACGCGCACCAGGCACGUCGAGCCCUGCCGAUGUGUGGGGCAGACCCAUAGCGCGACCCACGGCGGGACCCAGACCCAUAGCGCGACCCACAGCGGGACCCAGACCCAUAGCGCGACCCAGACCCACAGCGCGACCCACAGCGCAACCCACAGCGGGGCCCACAGCGGGGCCCAGACCCAUAGCGCGACCCAGACCCAUAGCGCGACCCAGACCCAUAGCGCGACCCACAGCGAGACCCAGACCCAUAGCCGAACCCAUAGCAUGACCCAGACCUAUAACAGAACCCACAGCGCGACCCACAGCGGGACCCAGACCCAUAGCGGUACCCAGACCCACAGCGGGACCCAGACCCACAGCGGGACCCACAACAUGACCCAGACCCACAGCGCGACCCAGAGCAGGACCCAGACCCAUAGCGGGACCCAGACCCAUAGCGGGACCCACAGCAGGACCCAGACCCAUAGCGCGACCCACAGCGGGACCCACAGCGGGGCCCAGACCCACAGCAGGACCCAGAGCAGGACCCAGACCCAUAGCGGGACCCAGACCCAUAGCGGGACCCACAGCAGGACCCAGACCCAUAGCGAGACCCAGAGCAGAACCCAGACCUAUAACAGAACCCACAGCGUGACCCACAGCAAGACCCAGCCCCACAGCGAGACCCACAACGUGACUCAAAAUACAACCCAGCCCCAUAGCGAGACCCACAGCGUGACCCAGACCCAUAGCGCGACCCACAGCGGGACCCAGACCCAUAGCGGGACCCACAGUGGGACCCAGACCCAUAGCGGGACCUACAGCGCAACCCAGACCCAUAACAAGACCCAAAGCAUGACCCAGACCCAUAGCAGGACCCAGACCCACAGCGUGACCCACAGCAGGACCCAGACCCAUAGCGCGACCCACAGCAGGACCCAGACCCAUAGCGCGACCCACAGCAGGACCCAGACCCAUAACAGAACCCACAGCGUGACCCACAGCGGGACCCAGACCCAUAGCGCGACCCAGACCCAUAGCGGGACCCACAGCGGGACCCAGGCCCACAGCGGGACUCAGCCCCAUAGCGACACCCAUAGCGAGACCCAGACCCAUAGCGAGACCCACAGCGGGACCCAGACCCACAGCGCGCCCCAUAGCGUGGCCUGGACCCACAGUACGACCCACAGCGUAGCCCAGACCCACAGCAACACCCACAACAUGACCCACAGCAAGACCCAUAAAGCAACCCAGCCCCACAGCACGACCCAGCCCCAUAACGCGACCCACAGCGCAACCCUGACCCACAGCGUGACCCACGGCAAGCCCCAGCCCCACAUCCUGACCCGUAUCCAGCCCGACAUCUGCAACGCGCCCCAUAACGCGCCCCAUAGCGAAGCCCAGACCCACGGCACGACUCCCAACGCCCCUCAGCCCCACAGCCGCCCCAUAGCAGCUCCCCCCCCCCGGCCCCACAGCGCCCCACAUCUCACCACGACGGCCGUCAGGAAGUGCAGCAUCCGGGAGUUGUUGUAGACGCCCUCAAACAUCUGUGGGGCGCGACACAGUGGGGCAGACCCCCAAGUGGGGAACGGAGCGGCUGAACCAACCCCCCCGCCCCAUAACUUAGGGGGCCGCCCCACAACUUGGGGGGCACUCACCGGUGCUGGGGGGGGGCCCUUCCCCGUGCUCUGUCCUCUGGAAGGAAAAAACCCCACAGCGGGGAUGGGGGUCAGCCCCAUAGAUCCCCACAGCGCGCUGCCCCAUAGAUCCACACUGACCCCAUAGCACACUGCCCCAUAGAUCCCCACUGACCCCAUAGG